UGGCGAACGGGUGAGUAACACGUGGGGAAUCUGCCUAUAAGUGGGGGAUAACAUUCGGAAACGGAUGCUAAUACCGCAUAUAUUCUUGGACCGCCUGGUCCUUGAAAGAAAGACGGCUUUGCUGUCGCUUAUAGAUGAUCCCGCGGCGUAUUAGUUAGUUGGUGGGGUAAAGGCCUACCAAGACAAUGAUACGUAGCCGACCUGAGAGGGUGAUCGGCCACACUGGGACUGAGACACGGCCCAGACUCCUACGGGAGGCAGCAGUAGGGAAUCUUCCACAAUGGGCGAAAGCCUGAUGGAGCAAUGCCGCGUGAAUGAAGAAGGUCUUCGGAUCGUAAAGUUCUGUUAUUAGAGAAGAACAAGUCAAGGAGUAACUGUCUUGACUUUGACGGUACCUAACCAGAAAGUCACGGCUAACUACGUGCCAGCAGCCGCGGUAAUACGUAGGUGACGAGCGUUGUCCGGAAUUAUUGGGCGUA
rnacentral:rRNA from 1 species